AUUAUUAUUAGGUAUGUUCUUGAAAAUUAAAUGAUUUGGCGGUAUUUUAGACUUUUCAGAGGAACUUGUCCUGUAAUUGAUAUUCCACGAUUUAAUUUACUUUUUUUUUUAAUUUGUAUAUCGUCGUAAUUGAAAAUUUUUUAAAAAUUAAAAUUUUCAUAAUUUUAAAUUAAAUAAUAAAUCAGAUCAAGAUAUAGUUAAUAAAAAAGUAGAGGUGAGUUACAUUUUUUUUAUAAAAAGAUAUUUAUUUUAAAAAUAAAUUGAAUUUGGAUUUGAAAGUAAUUUAUAUAAAUUUAUUUAAAUGAUUUAGCUCUAAAAUAUGUACACAUC
rnacentral:rRNA from 1 species